rnacentral:rRNA from 1 species
GACGAACGCUGGCGGCGUGCUUAACACAUGCAAGUCGAACGGAAAGGCCCUGCUUUUGUGGGGUGCUCGAGUGGCGAACGGGUGAGUAACACGUGAGUAACCUGCCCUUGACUUUGGGAUAACUUCAGGAAACUGGGGCUAAUACCGGAUAGGAGCUCCUGCUGCAUGGUGGGGGUUGGAAAGUUUCGGCGGUUGGGGAUGGACUCGCGGCUUAUCAGCUUGUUUGUGGGGUAGUGGCUUACCAAGGCUUUGACGGGUAGCCGGCCUGAGAGGGUGACCGGCCACAUUGGGACUGAGAUACGGCCCAGACUCCUACGGGAGGCAGCAGUGGGGAAUAUUGCACAAUGGGCGGGAGCCUGAUGCAGCAGCGCCGCGUGCGGGAUGACGGCCUUCGGGUUGUAAACCGCUUUCGCCUGUGACGAAGCGUGAGUGACGGUAAUGGGUAAAGAAGCACCGGCUAACUACGUG